AAUCAAUCCUCACUCUAAAUUUAACUAAUUUCUUCCCUCCAUUUUAACAGACCAAGUUUUGAGCCUUAAUUACAAUUUCAAGCAGCCCACUCCCAACUCCAAUCGAUCCAGUCCAGCCAACUUAUUUUCUAUUCUCAAAAGAACCCAGAAGUCCCACAGCGUCUCCUUUUCCCUCACGCGUCAACAACGGUGUCUAGGCGAUACUUUUUUUUCUUGUCGUCUUCUCUGAUUACCUCGACAAAAAGUACGCCUACUACUGUUCAAGCGCUGAUUCCAGCUGCAACUUCGUCCUCACCAGCGUGAGACCGAGUCACGUAGCUCGUAAGGCCGAAAGAUCAACCCCAGCCAUCCACCUCGUGCGAAUUUGUUAAGCAUUGGAGAAUCAAUUUAGGAUAUUCUAUUAUUUCUGGAUAGAGUUCUGUUUGGAAUUCAAAAUUUUAGGCCCAUUAUCAAAGUUCCACAUUGUUUCUCACCCUCAAAUUCGACCCAGGAGCUGCCCUAUAAAUACCCUUCUCAUUAACUAUUUAAGGAGAGGUUUUUUUUGGACUUGAGAGUAGUACCCCUAUAAGGUAUGGGAGUUCUCGGUUCAAAAUAGUUAAAAGUUUUGGUGUUUGUUCGAGUGGAAGAAGUAAAGUCACCUUCUCAACUCGUCGUGUUCCGGUCGCUGUCAAGAAUCAGGGACCUUAUGAAGGAACGUGGUUCUUGGCUCAAUAUACUUUUUGGCUGCCAGCUGGAAGUACGAAAAGUUGAUGCAUAGUCUCCAACAGUGGCAUAAGGGGCAGACGCGCUAGAAUCCUCAGCCAAUGGGAUUGUUUUACGUUUUGUGACCUUUCUACAUAAACAAAACAUCCCCAUAUUCACAGUUAGUUUUUGCAACUUGAAAAAGCACAUUCAAGAACUCUUGCAAAGGCUAAAGAAAAUCAAGAAGAAGAAUCAUUCAAGAACAACCGAAACUCAGGUGAACAUUGUGUAGUUGUUUGAGAAUAUAUUCUUUCGAUCUUACAUGUAAACUGAUCCUAAAUCUGUAAAGGAAUCAGUGUGGUUGUAUAUAAAAUUCUAAAUCAUUAAUAGGUUAGUGAUUUAGUGGGCAGUCUGUGAGAUUGCUUAGAAAAUUCUGUCUAGAGUGAUAGCUUAGUGGGUAGAGUAAUAUCUACUUAGGCUCAUCAAGCAAUAGAGCUAUUGCUUGAUAGUGAGAUUAAAAACUUUUUCUCACAUUUUUGUAAUCGAUUUCCUUUUGCUUGUGAAGAUUAGUGAAACUGUUUUGAAAAUCAUGUGAGACAGUCGUGAUUUUACUCCCUUGAGCAAGGAGGUUUCCAGACGCACAGAUUCUAACAAGUGAUAUCAGAGCGGGUACUCUCUAUCUGGUUAAUACCAAGAGAGUAAUUCCUGUUCUAGAAUGGCUGCUCCACUCAAUCUGGAAGAGGGUCAGUCUUCGAUUCGACCUCCUCGGUUCAAUGGUCACUUCUAUAACUGGUGGAAAGUUAGCAUGCAUGAUUUCCUUAUGGCUAAAGAUAGUGAACCGUGGGAUAUUGUCUCAGAUGGACCAUUUGUUCCUAUGAUUGAAGAAAAAGAUGGUGAAAUCACUAGACUUGUUCCAAAGCCUAGACGCAAAUACGAUGAAGCUGACAGGAAGAAGAUUGAAAAGGGCUACAAAGAAAAUAAGCUUUUUGUAUGUGGUAUAGGACCUAAUGAGUUCAAUCGUGUCUCAGCUUGUGAAUCAGCAAAGGAGAUUUGAGAUUUCUUAAAAACAGCUCAUGAAGGAACUGAACAAGUAAAAGAGUCAAAGAUCGAUAUGCUUACCUCUCAGUAUGAAAGUUUCAAAAUGAGAGUAGGUGAAACCAUUCAUGAGAUGUUCACAAAGCUGUCAUCAACCACAAAUGAGUUGAGAAGUCUUGAAGAACCCAUCAGUAUGAGCAAACAAGUCAGGAAAGUUCUUCGAAUCCUUCCCAAGUCCUGAGAAAGCAAGGUGGAUGCAAUCACUGAAUCAAAAGAUCUGAAAGUAUUGACAAUGGAUGCUCUUAUUGGAAAUCUCAAAACUCAUGAGAUGACCCAAAGUUAUGAUCAGUCAAAGAAAGAAGCCAAAAAGGAUAAGUCUUUAAUGCUGAAACACAGAUUUGAAGAAGGCUCCAGUGAAGAUGAUGAUAUGGCUUACCUUAUCAAAAGGUUUCAGAAGAUUAUGAGAAAAAACAAGGGAUUCAGAAAGGGAUCAAAUGUUCUUCGAACUGCAACUCCAAAUGCUACUUGUCACAAAUGUGGAAACACUAGACAUUUUAUAAAUGAUUGUCCAUCACUUAAAGCUGAAAACAGAGAAUAUCAAAGACCAAGAGGCAAGAAAGAGAAACCCAGGGACCUGGUACUUGAUAAAAGUGAGUGAAAAGCUGCAACUGAUUAUGUGGUCAAGAAAGCUCUUGCUGCAUGGGGAGAUUCUUCAAGUGAUUCAGAAGACUUUGAUGAAUCUAAUGAUGCAUCAAUGGUGGUGGUUCAUGAUGAGAAUAAUAUAUUCGAUGAAAUGUUUACUCUUAUGGCUCAGUCAGAUGAUGAAGAUGCUGAGGAUAAGGUAUAGGGGUGUGCAUCGGUCGGUUCGGUUCGGUUUUACAUAUAAUCGGUUCGGUUUAUCGGUUUUCGGUUUUAAAAUAUGCUAACCCAAUAAUAAACCAAUAAGAAAUUUUUUAUCGAUUUAUCAGUUUUUUAUGUUA